rnacentral:rRNA from 1 species
UGGGAACGUGCCCAAAGGUACGGAACAACUCCGGGAAACUGGAGCUAAUACCGUAUGUGCCCGAAAGGGGAAAGAUUCAUCGCCUUUGGAUCGGUCCGCGUCUGAUUAGCUAGUUGGCGGGGUAAUGGCCCACCAAGGCGACGAUCAGUAGCUGGUCUGAGAGGAUGACCAGCCACACUGGGACUGAGACACGGCCCAGACUCCUACGGGAGCAG